rnacentral:rRNA from 1 species
GUGCCAGCAGCCGCGGUAAGACAGAGGGGGCAAGCGUUGUCCGGACUGACUGGGCGUAAAGCGCGCGCAGGCGGUCAGAGGCGUCGGUGCUCAAAGUCCACCGCUUAACGGUGGGAGGCGUGCCGAUACGCUCUGACUGGAGGGCGGGCGAGGGUGGUGGAAUUGCCGGUGUAGUGGUGAAAUGCGUAGAGAUCGGCAGGAACACCAGUGGCGAAGGCGGCCACCUAGCCCGCACCUGACGCUGAGGCGCGACAGCGUGGGGAGCGAACUGGAUUAGAAACCCUCGUAGUCC